UUGGUGACAUGGAGAUGAGAGAGAGCGAAGAAAGGCCGAGCCUUCUCUUCCGUAAGGGAUGAUCCCUUGUUAAGGAGGAGAAGGCAAAUCUUGGCGUUGUAUGAUUUGCUCUCCCUUAUUCACGCGAUUUUCCAAUCCGGUGCUCCGACGCGAUUAUCCGUCGUCUCCCGCGAAACUAUUUUGCUCGUUUCGCCAAUUUAUUCUUCUCCCCGCGCUAAAUCGCCCCCUCUCGAUGCCAAAUAUUCUGCCGUCACCAGCACAAAUCCAUCCCAGCCACCCCUGCUCCAACAUGUUUCGUCGGCCGGCGGGGAAUGAAGCGGCCUGGGGCAUGGACGGACGUGCUUCUCCGUCACCGAUUCUGCUGUAUGCUCCCCCACCGCCAGACUCCAGAUCUAACACCGCCUCCUUGAAUGUUUGGUGGGACUUGGCUGCUGCUAGCCCAUUCAAUCUUCGCCAGCAGAUUGAUGGGCGCAUGGCUGAGCAACACAAAUGAUGCUAUAAGUGGAAACACAAAAAGAAUGACCAAUAUUGUGAUGCUGUGAGCUGUGACUGCUGAGUACAAUAGCAACAAUUUUUUUUCAUAUAUUUCAACUAUGUAGAGUUAUUCCUUUUGAAGCUAAAGAUCUGUUUGUA